rnacentral:lncRNA from 1 species
CAACCAAAGACAAUAACCUGAGGGGAGGAGGACAACUAGCACAACAAUACAACCAAAGAAAAGGAAAGGUCUCUCCAUAGUGCAAAAGAAGAAAAACCAACUCGGGAAAGAAGGGCCACAUGCCACUACGACUGAUCAUUUGUAGCCUCAUUGCGACCAUUAUGUCUUCCUUGAUGAGUAGCGCCAAUUGUAGUGGUGGUAAGAAUUUAUAUUGAAAAAUACGCCGAUUUCUUUCUUUCCAAACAUUCCACCAAAAGUAUAUCAUUAGACCGUCAAAAGUUCUCUGUCUUUUUUAUCCACUCGCAUCCUACAUUUUCUCCACCAUACAUAAAGAGAAAUCGUCUGUUCCAAUUUUUGCAACGAAUGUAAGCCAGUCCAAGAAGUGAUCAUGUUCCGCAUCCUUAGCGUAUGGACAGUUCUUGCAAAGGUGAUGGGGUGUUCCAGGUUGUGCCGUGCAUAGUUUGCACAAAGGAUCGUUCGUCCAUCCUCGUUUUUGCAGAUUGUUUGCUAUUAAAUUUUUUUUGUGUAGCAAUGUCCACACAAAGAAACGGCAUUUGGUUUAGCCUUUGCUUUCCAUAUUGGUGAAAAAUUGAUCUUUUGCAUACAUCGUGGUAUUAUAUUUGCAUACUUUUGCAGCUUUUUUUUAACGUAAAUGGCAGGAGCUCUGCCUUUUUAAUUAAGAAGGAAAAGAGAUACUUUUGCAGCCUGAAAGUUCUGUCUAAUUCAAGGGAUUAAAGACUUUUAACCUUCCAUCGUUCCAGAAGAUCUUUUGAACUUGACAUUUGCCUCUUUUUUAUAUUUUUAUUUACUGUUCUUGUAGGAAAGGAGCAACAAGGACAGCUGCACCCCAAGAAAUUUGGGAAUCGAGACGUGUACACCAACCACAAAAUUUUGCACAUGAGCAGAUUUAUUUAGGAGGAAGGACCGUAACCCCCAACAGUCUGUCUACAGGAGCAUAACAUGCCAUGCAAAUUAAAGUCUUGCAAUUUGGCUGCAGAGAUCUUGGAUUUCUCUGCAGCAUGUGU